AUUGAACGCUGGCGGCAUGCCUUACACAUGCAAGUCGAACGGUAACGGGCCUUCGGGUGCCGACGAGUGGCGAACGGGUGAGUAAUACAUCGGAACGUGCCCGAUCGUGGGGGAUAACGAGGCGAAAGCUUUGCUAAUACCGCAUACGAUCUACGGAUGAAAGCCGGGGACCGCAAGGCCUUGCGCGGACGGAGCGGCCGAUGGCAGAUUAGGUUGUUGGUGGGAUAAAAGCUUACCAAGCCGACGAUCUGUAGCUGGUCUGAGAGGAUGAUCAGCCACACUGGGACUGAGACACGGCCCAGACUCCUACGGGAGGCAGCAGUGGGGAAUUUGGGACAAUGGGCGCAAGCCUGAUCCAGCCAUGCCGCGUGCAGGAUGAAGGCCUUCGGGUUGUAAACUGCUUUUGUACGGAACGAAAAGCCUUCUUUUAAUACAGGAGGGUCAUGACGGUACCGUAAGAAUAAGCACCGGCUAACUACGUG
rnacentral:rRNA from 1 species